UGGGGAAUAUUGCACAAUGGGCGCAAGCCUGAUGCAGCCAUGCCGCGGGUAUGAAGAAGGCCUUCGGGUUGUAAAGUACUUUCAGCGGGGAGGAAGGGAGUAAAGUUAAUACCUUUGCUCAUUGACGUUACGCGCAGAAGAAGCACCGGCGAACUCCGUGCCAGCAGCCGCGGUAAUACGGAGGGUGCAAGCGUUAAUCGGAAUUACUGGGCGUAAAGCGCACGCAGGCGGUUUGUUAAGUCAGAUGUGAAAUCCCCGGGCUCAACCUGGGAACUGCAUCUGAUACUGGCAAGCUUGAGUCUCGUAGAGGGGGGUAGAAUUCCAGGUGUAGCGGUGAAAUGCGUAGAGAUCUGGAGGAAUACCGGUGGCGAAGGCGGCCCCCUGGACGAAGACUGACGCUCAGGUGCGAAAGCGUGGGGGGCAAACAGG
rnacentral:rRNA from 1 species